UACGGAGGAUCCAAGCGUUAUCCGGAUUCAUUGGGUUUAAAGGGUGCGUAGGCGGAAUGAUAAGUCAGUGGUGAAAGCCUGCAGCUUAACUGCAGAACUGCCAUUGAUACUGUCAAUCUUGAGUACAUUUGAUGUGGGCGGAAUGUGUCAUGUAGCGGUGAAAUGCUUAGAUAAUGACACAGAAACACCGAUUGCGAAGGCAGCUCACAAAACU
rnacentral:rRNA from 1 species